UACAGAGGGCAGCCAAGUCGUGAGGCGGAGCUAAUCCCUUAAAGCCAUUCUCAGUUCGGAUUGUAGGCUGAAACUCGCCUACAUGAAGCUGGAGUUACUAGUAAUCGCAGAUCAGAAUGCUGCGGUGAAUGCGUUCCCGGGUCUUGUACACACCGCCCGUCAAGCCAUGGGAGCCGGGGGUACCUGAAGUGCGUAACCGCAAGGAGCGCCCUAGGGUAAAACUGGUGACUGGGGCUAAGUCGUAACAAGGUAGC
rnacentral:rRNA from 1 species